GGAGGAAUAUACCUGAAACUUCUUGUCAAUAAGACAAGUAGCCCAAUGAGUUCCAUCCUUUAAAAAAUAAUGUGAAAGAUUAUCAGGGCUUUCUGUAAGCUUUCUUUCUCUAAAGGUUGUACCUAUUAAUGUAUUCUCUGCUACUCAUCAACUCACUUUUUUUUGCCUAUUUUCAUUAGCUGAGUCUUCCAUGAUCACUGGCAGAGAUACUAAGAAUGUGUUGUUUUGAUUCUCCACUAUG
rnacentral:lncRNA from 1 species